rnacentral:rRNA from 1 species
GAUGAACGCUGGCGGCGUGCCUAAUACAUGCAAGUCGAGCGAACAGACGAGGAGCUUGCUCCUCUGACGUUAGCGGCGGACGGGUGAGUAACACGUGGAUAACCUACCUAUAAGACUGGGAUAACUUCGGGAAACCGGAGCUAAUACCGGAUAAUAUAUUGAACCGCAUGGUUCAAUAGUGAAAGACGGUUUUGCUGUCACUUAUAGAUGGAUCCGCGCCGCAUUAGCUAGUUGGUAAGGUAACGGCUUACCAAGGCAACGAUGCGUAGCCGACCUGAGAGGGUGAAGGGCCACACGGGAACAGAGAAACGGACCAGAACCCCACGGGGGGCAGGAGUAGGGAAACUGCCGAAAGGGGAGAAAGCCUGAGGGAGCAACGCCGGGUGGGUGAUGAAGGUUUUCGGAUAGUAAAACUCUUUUAUUAGGAAAGAAAAAAGGGGAAAGUAAAUAGGCACGUUUUGACGGUAACAAAGCAAAAAACCACGGAUAAAUACGU